ACUGAAGAGAAACGCAGUCCCUUCAGGCUGCAAACCCGCGGGACUCCUUGGAGGCCUGGCUGCCCGGCCCGGGACACGGCUCAGGCCCGCACCGGCGACUCCUCGCUGCUUGAGCUCCGGGAAGACCGGUAUUUCGGAGGAAGUCUCGCCCUUCCCGGCGGAGGAGGAGGAGAAGGCGGCACCGUCGCAGCCCCCGCAGCCCGACUUGCCCGGCCGCUCGCCGGCGGCGGGCACUCAGCGGCGUCCCAACGGCCGCCCGUCGGCGGCGGCAGCCAAUGGCGGCGCGCGGAGCUCUCGCGAGAGCUGCCCGGUAAACAGCGCUGCGCCGAGGGCCCUCCCGCUGCCCUCCCUCUCCUGCCAUUAGCGGCGGAGGAGGGGGCCGUGCUCGCACAGGGGCCGGCAGCAGGCAGCGAGCGAGGAGCUGGCGGGAGGGCGGCGCGGAGAGAGGAAAAACAACACCAAGAACCUCUAACUAAACAGAACUAAGAAGCAAAUAUUUAUAGCUGACAGAGUUUGAGCCUGUGGUCGCUGACAUGCUGUAGAGGAGCUGCAGACUUAGCAAAGAUCUUGGCAUAUUGGAAUUCAUUAAAUUUCCUUCCACAGAAGUGGAAACAAAUAAGUUUUUGUUAUCUUUUGAACAGAUGAAAGGUUGUGAGACYCUUCUAAGAACAAAAACAGACCUUUCUCUACAGUGUGUAAUAAAGAUACUAGUUUACAAUUCUCCA
rnacentral:lncRNA from 1 species